rnacentral:rRNA from 1 species
AGUGAACGCUGGCGGUAGGCCUAACACAUGCAAGUCGAACGGCAGCACAGUAAGAGCUUGCUCUUACGGGUGGCGAGUGGCGGACGGGUGAGGAAUACAUCGGAAUCUACUUUUUCGUGGGGGAUAACGUAGGGAAACUUACGCUAAUACCGCAUACGACCUACGGGUGAAAGCAGGGGGUCUUCGGACCUUGCGCGAUUGAAUGAGCCGAUGUCGGAUUAGCUAGUUGGCGGGGUAAAGGCCCACCAAGGCGACGAUCCGUAGCUGGUCUGAGAGGAUGAUCAGCCACACUGGAACUGAGGCACGGUCCAGACUCCUACGGGAGGCAGCAGUGGGGAAUAUUGGACAAUGGGCGCAAGCCUGAUCCAGCCAUACCGCGUGGGUGAAGAAGGCCUUCGGGUUGUAAAGCCCUUUUGUUGGGAAAGAAAAGCAGCAGGUUAAUACCCCGCUGUUCUGACGGUACCCAAAGAAUAAGCACCGGCUAACUUCGUG